CAGCCGCCGCGGUAAUACGUAGGGUGCGAGCGUUAAUCGGAUUUACUGGGCGUAAAGCGUGCGCAGGCGGCCCGUUAAGACAGGUGUGAAAUCCCUGGGCUCAACCUAGGAAUUGCGCUUGUGACUGGCGGGCUCGAGUACGGUAGAGGGGGGUGGAAUUCCUGGUGUAGCAGUGAAAUGCGUAGAGAUCAGGAGGAACACCGAUGGCGAAGGCAGCCCCCUGGGCCUGUACUGACGCUCAUGCACGAAAGCGUGGGGAGCAAACAGGAUUAGAUACCCGGGUAGUACACGCCCGAAACGAUGGGUACUAGCCGUUUGGUGCGCGAUAGCGCUGAGUGGCGAAGCUAACGCGUGAAGUACCCCGCCUGGGGAGUACGGCCGCAAGGUUGAAACUUAAAGGAAUUGGCGGG
rnacentral:rRNA from 1 species